CUCGUCUGCUUUGGACAGAAGGCGGGUCCUGUGCUGCCAUCUGCUGGGGAUGCGACGAGGCAGCAGUGCUGAAGUGCUGGCAAAGUUUACGGCCUCUUGCCCCUACAAAAGUCUAGUUUUGGGGGGACUAAGGAAAGUAAGAGGAAGGGGGAGCUGAAGAAAGUGAAGAAUUGGAAAGCAGCUUCUUAGGAAACCUCAGAAGGGAUGCUGAGCUGAGGGCGCAAGAGAGGAUGGCAACACCAACCUGUUCACGCAGGUGACGCUGCUCCAACCGUGCUCGUGGCCCCAGACAGCAGUGGAGACGACGGAUAAUGACAACCAGCAGGUUUGGGGUUUUCCAGACUCCAUCCCUGGGCGUCCACCACGUGGUGAGUUCCUGUGCUGUGAGCUGCAGACCUGCCCUCUGGAAGUCGAGUGGAGGAAUCAGACAAAAGCUGAUGUUGACAGCACAAUUCAGAAUUACACCUGGUGAGGGGGCCGUCAGGGGACGUUUUCUGUCUUCCCUGGACUGGAGGUGUGGUGCCUCCACAGCAUGGCUGAUGAGUGGAGUAGGUCCAUGGCCAGGAUCCGAACCCCAGACCCCGAGCUGACUGAAGUGGAGUGCGUGGAACUUUAACCACUCGACCAUGGGGCCGGCCCCCUCCUAAGCCCAGUUUUAACCACUAAUCUCCAUCAACGGCCGUGUGCAGAAACACUGAGCUUGUAUUUCUCUCGAGGACAUGCUCCCCUAGGUAGAGGUGGAGGGAGCGUCCGGCCUGGGUGCUGGGACGUCUGGCUGCUGGGAUGAGCUGUGAGAGAGGAUGGGCAGAGGCCUGACGGUCCACGCAUCUUGUAGCUCUCAGUGUCUAAAUUCCCGGCAUGUCUGUCUUUCGUUGCUGCUGUUAAAUGCUCUUCUGGGAGAGGCUAAGGCGUCGGGCACUGUCUCUGCCCAGACAAGGCUGUAAAGGAGGGGCCGGGGCUGCCGAGGCCAUCCUGGUGGUAGCCGUGAGGAUUAAAAGAAGCUUCCCAGGAAGCAUGUCAAAGCUGCAAGGUCCAGCUGCCUCUCUGGACAGAGGAUUCUUACUCCGUCGCUGACACUGGACAACCUGGUUGUAUUAAAUCAUGGUUGGUGGAGGUGGCAGUUCUCUGUCAAAGGAUACAACACGGCACCAGAAACUACAGCGCUUCUCGUUGGGUGAAGAGCGGGCCUAAAGCCGGAAAGCUCUGCAGCUUUCUGCUCCUCUAGCCAUGCUCCCGCCCCAUCUGCUCUUGGGGGCACUAUGGUGUGGAUACUGAGAUCCGCGUGAAUGCCAUCGAUUUCUUCUCUUCCUCUUGGCCUCUGUGAGUCACCGGUCCCGUAAGUCACUAACUGCCCAGUUUAGUGGCCCCUUGGGUUCGCAUGGCUGAUCAUGGGCCUCCCGUGAGCCUGGCCCAAAGCAAAUACUCAAUAAAUGUUAGCGAAUUCAUGAGCAACAUCAAAACUAAAUGAGGAGGAAAUAAUGAACACUGAACAAUCAGCUCGAAAUGACUUUCCCGAAGUUUUUCUAAGUAUGCUAAAAAUAGCAGAAGUGAAAAUAGUUUCCUGUCUUUUUCUUUGCCGAAGGAUCUUCUCCCAUAUGCAGUUCGUUAGCAGUAGCUCCCCAACGGUCCGAGACAGAAGACCAACAAGAUUAGGGUUAGGUUAAGAUUAGGAUCCGGGAGUCCGAGAGCCUGCACUCAGCUUGCGGACCGGCGCUGAAGGCGACUCCAGUCUGACGCCGAGGCAUUCCCUCUGCCUUCAAGUUCUCGCAGCGAGGUUUCCCAGACCUGUUCCCACCCACACAGAGAUGCUGAAGGUUUUCUCCUGACCUUUCUACUUCAGUUACUUCCAAACUAGUUUCCUCAUUUCUGCCGCUGUGCGAUACUGUGCUUAUCAUUUGGCUCGCAUCUGUUCUGGUCACCACUUGCCUGGAUGGUGGGGAUCCCGUGCCUGUUUCCUACAAGCCUCUGGAGAGCUCUGCCCAAGUGUAACUGAUAGGGGCAAGCAUAAAACGUCCCAUCCAGUGCUGACCUUUGAGUGUCCACUGGCACAACUUGCCUCCCUCCACCGUCCAGUAUUUGAGCAUAAAAAUAUUUCCUUGUUUUGCAGACAUUCUGCCUGCCACAAACGAAAGGCUAAUUCAGGGGUCAUGCUGCCAAACAAAACCAGGAGGUUUAGUUCCAGCCUUCUUAGGAGAGGAGGCCUGUUCUGUGGGAUCAGGUCCACCUUGAAGAAGACAUGGCAGCAGGCGGAAAAUGAAUGAGGAAACGAGCAAAGAGAAAGUGAAACAUGUAGUGAUGAAUGGUUAAUGCAAAUGGCUAUCCCCACUCAAACCCAGACGGGUGGGCAUUUCUCAUCGGAGGAAGUAUGGAAAUUCAAAGAAGCAUUUGAAGAAGCAAAACCUUUCAGCUCAGCCCUAAAUCUGGAAACGAAGGAAGACUAGUGAUUAUGAGGAGCCCAGCUCCAAACCACCAAGCUCAAACGUGUCCCUCCACGUCCCAGGCGUUGUCGAAGGAGCUCUGCUCUGGCUCUCCAUCAACUCCAGGUUCCUCAGAGUUGAGUGCUCUAGGAUAAGAAAAAUUACCCCUGUGAUCUAAAAGAUAGACUAUAUUUUGGAACAGGAAGCUAAACACGAGAAGAACUGAAUACAAAGGGCUGAAAUGUUUUCCAAAUAUUUUUUAUCAUUAAUAGUGAUUAACACCCAACCAGAUGGAGGAACGAUCCAAAUUGCAAAAGGCGAGAUGUGGCAGUGACAGGGUUCUGUGAGCUCACAGCUACGUUCAUCGGAGCUAAAAGCAGAAGGCUGGCUCAUUCUUGACUUAGCUGGCUGGGUGUUGAGUCUCCUCAAAGGAACAACAAAUUUUGAGGAACUUCUACCCUGAAGGAAUUAUGAAAAACAAGUGAAAACAGGUUGGUGAUCUGAAGGGGAGAGAGGGAAGGCAAAGAGGAAAGGCACACGUUUCCUGACUGCUCGCCAUGCAUCAGAUGUCCAUCAAGGCACUUGAAACGGGGCAUCUUGGUCAUCCACCUGCACGACUCUGUGAGGUGACCUCUGUGAGAGAAUGCAUAAUUGUCUCCUCUGGGCCUCAGAGAGAUCAAGGAACUGGCCUGAGGUCGCCCAGCUGGUUUGAGCAGGUACAGGCUUUGAGCAAAGUCCUGACUUGGAGUGCUGACCUCUUCCAUUGAGAAAAAAUGUCCAUGUCCCCUGAAGGGCAUCAGGCGUUUAAACUAGAUCUGGGAAAGCAUUUCAGAAAGAGUUCCUUGAAGGUGGGUAUUAGCCUGUGACUCAACUAUAAAAUAGAGACGACUUAAAAUGCUUGGGUGACGGAUAAUUUCUGCAAAUAACCAGCCUAAGGGAAGCUGGAGAGGGCAGCAAAGAUGCUGGUGUGGCACUCGAGGAACUCAGCUCAGAUUUUAGAAAGACCCAUGGGGAAGUCAGAGAAGCUCACGAUGAAGGAGGAAUGUGCACUUGGGGUUGCCUGCAGCGUCUGCAGUGCUAAGCUUUAGUAGGAACUGAGGCUGUGAGAGGCAGAAGUGCACAGUGGGGGGAUCUGGGGUGUGUUUGAAGCAGAGAGCAAAGGAGGAAGGCAAGGACCUGCUCUGGGGCAGCGGGGAGAUGUCUGUAGGAAACAGCGAGGAAAACAACUCUUUGCUGCUAUUUGCUUCCAUUGUCUUCAUCCAUGAGAAGAACUUCAGACCUGCAAUGUUGGAUCCAACUUUGGCAAAAGACCCUUGAAACCCAAUUGCCUUAAGUGCGUUUAAGUCUCUUGGCCCAGAUGAAUGAACUGCCUGAGAGAAGUUGCCAGAAAGGGCAUGGUGCUGUAUUAAUCUAUCACAGCGAAGAGUGGCACAGGCUCCAAAAAGGCAAAGUUAGGCCUGUGCUGUCUUGACGUCCAGGGGGAGGAAAGGGGAGUCUCUGAGCCACAGUCUGGCAGGGCUUCCGGGAGAGAUCAGGAGUCAGCACAGAUUCGCAACAAACAGGCCAUGCUGGACUCAUCCCAUCCAUCCAUAGAAUCCUUACUUGGUUAGACCAAAGGAUGGCUGCCAGCAGACAAUAUUUAGAGUCUUUAACAUCCUUGGAGAUGAGAAGGAAAAGUCUGGGCUAGAAUAUAGCGUUAAGUGCAUUUGUACCUAGUAAAGGACCGUAUCCAAAGAAUUGCUCAUGAAACCGUGUCAUCCUGGAGGAAGCUCUCUGGGAGGUUUCACCCACAGCCCUGCCCUAUCUAACGACCCUGUUUUAAUUAACAUGGACAGAGCUGGCUUUUUAAUUAAAGUUUCAGAUGAUUUCAGACUGAGAGGAAUUACUAAAACACGGAUGUCAGACUUAGGGUUCAAAGGGGCCUUGAUGGGUGAGAACAAUGACCUGAAUCCAACAAGGAGACCGGAAUGUGGUUAAUACGAAGUUUUACACUUAGAUUCUAAGGUGAGCUGCACAGGUGUGCAUGUCCAAACAGUCGUACGUGGUGUUCACUUCUGGGUACACACUCCAAAAAGGAGAGUGACAAUUGGGAGCACGGCCAGAGAAGAGGAACAAAGAAGGGGAAUGAGAAACAGUUAAAGGAACUGAAAAGGUUUGGCCUGGAGAAGAAAGUUGCUAAGAAAUGGGGUUUCUACUAUAUAGUCCUAGAAGGUUGAACCAAGGCCAACUAGGAAGGUUUGGGGCUAAUUGUCAGGAAAAACAUUCUGAUAAUUACGAUGCUCAGUCAAAAAAUGGGCUGCCUCAGCAAGCUAUGUGUUUCCUCUCAUUCUCAUGCUCCAAGGACAGGUCGGACUGUUGCUCGUUGAGGAUGAGGGGGAGGCUACAAGGCAUUCUUGCCUUGGGGCUAUGUCAUCCCCUGUGGCUGGUCGACCAGGUUUUUCUUGAACAUUUCUUAGGAGAGAUCACCACCUAAUGACAUUCCCUAAACACGUGAAUCAAAGUUUAGUAAAUAUUAUUCUCACCUUUUAUGUUACUACAGAUCUUAGACAAUUGCUGUAAUGCUCUCCAGAAUUUGGAACCGUCCCUUGGGUUGGGUCUAAGACAAAUUCCUCUCUCCAUUCCCUGCUCCAACUACCUAUUCAGACCACCAUCAUCUUCUGUUCAGAACGCCGGCAACUGUUUCCUGAAUGUACUGUCCCAGACUCUAGUUUACGGUCCCUGUAAUGCUCUCAUCAGUCUGCCCACAGUGCUCCUUCUUAAACAUAUAUUUCAUCAAGUCAGCACCAUCUGUGAAACCUUUACUGGCUCAUUUUCCUCAAUAAAUUCUUGGUAUAAUAAGGUGGGCUAGGAGGGAGGGGGGUGCUGGGUUGCUCUGUAAUCAAAGAGACUUAAAGGCCUAACCACAAAAUGCAGAGUUUGGACCUUGACUGGAUACUGAUUUGUACCAACCAACUCAAAACGGUUUUAUACACCAUAACAGAGAUCUUUUGCCUCAUUUUUUAGGCUUUCCUCUGCCAAGAAACCAUCCUACUUUGCCUUUCCCCACAAACAAUCUAAAGCCAAUGUUCUCCACCUUUCCGAGCAAAGAUGUGAACUGGAAGCACUAAUUUGACUCAUCCGUCCAAUCGAUCACUUGCGAGCGCAGGGGAGGGUGGUAUCAGCUGCUCUGAGGAGCUCUAUCCUGAUUUAAGACACGACCUCUAGGAGAAAAGUCGCACAGUCAGUUCUUGAUUAUUUGCUAAUAGAUGGAGGCAGAUGCCAAUGUAAUUAAUUGAUGGAUGCUUUACCCAGUGUGUUCCACUGUCAUAACAAUGGCUAAAAACAUGGCUACAAAAAAGUUUAAGAAAACAGGGAGAUGAGAAACAAAUUUUGAGAAAUGUUUGGGAGAAGAUUUGGUGGUGAACCAAGAAUGUUAAAUUCUUUUUCUUUUGACAAUUGUCUUUUGAAUUAUCUAUCCCAAACUAACAGCUUUACCCCACCCUCACAAAGAAAAUUGGGAUUCUCCUUCUGUGGGAGGUUGAAAUUACAUGUAACUUCUGGAGCUAUGAGAUUGCCUCCCCAUGGACCAGGGACGCGGAGGAGGGUGUGCAGCAGGUUGCUUGAGAGAAACAGAGGGGGAUCCGGAAAGGAAGACUUGGGGCUUUACCAAGCCUUUCCAAACCGGAGGCCCAGCUGCCUGUCUCCUCUGGAGUUCUUAGGACACACCUCUGUUCUUCUGACAAAUCUCCCCUUGUUGACAAUAGAAAGAGAAAGUAAAAGAAAAACCAAAGCGAGGCCUGAUCGUGAUCUGAGCAUCCUUAAAGCUUUUCUACAGAAGCUUCUCUGAUCACAUCAGCCUGAGCAACGGUGUCUUCUCAAUUCCUAUAAAUGUCGAUUUUCUCCUCCACUCACUGUACUCUCAUCACGAGUGCGGGCUUUGUAUGUUACACUAUACAUCCCCACACGGAUGACACGUUAUUUGAGAACAGGAAUUAUGUCUUUUAUUCCUUUGUAUUCUCCCCAGCACCAAGCAAAGCAUAUGGUAGGCAGACCCUCAAUAAAUGUCUAUUGAUUUGAUGAGAAUCACACGAGCUCAGCAGGUCAACUCACCUAGCUGUCAGGUAAUUGGAAGUAUCUUGGCUUGUGGUAAAAGAAUAGAGACUAACCAUGUAGAAAAUGAAAACUAGGACACUUAAUAACUCUAGGGGAAUCCUGCAUUAUGUCCUAGUGCAGAAACAGUUUGAAAAGACACCCCAAAAGAGAGUGCAAGCCUGGAUUAGCCACCCCAAGAAGUUAGAAGGAUUGACCGGCUUAACAAAUGUAAUCAGUUGAUGACUCAUUGCUGUCACUGAUUUUUUCCUGUGAUAAUUUGCCUAUUGAGUUGCCUGAUUUCAUGUGUUGACCAUUAUCUUUGCUAAACCUUUCUCCAUUUACAUCACUCAGAAAAAUUAAGAACUUGCUGUGCCUGUACAUGUUUGGGGAAGUCUGAUUUGGCAGAAUUCUUGUGAAAAAGAUCUGGGGGCUUCAGUUGAUCUCAAGCUUGAUACCAGUCAAGGGCUUGCUUUAAUGUCUUAAAAAGGCUAAUGCAAUUUUAGACCAAAUUAAGCAAAGAAUCAUGUUAUCUUGGAGACAGUGUUUUGGUUAUCCAGAAGUCCAGCCUCUGGCAUUGCGUGGGGCUUUUGCUGUCUAGAAUCACCCAGGGCCUCUUUUGACCCGACUAGUGACCCCUUAAACAGUUCCUUCCACGUAGCUCAGCUCAGACGUUAGGAAAUUCUUCAGUAUUUUAAGCCUUUCUCUACUAUCUACUUCCCUGGCCCUUUCACUUAUGGAGCUUAAUUCUUCCCCUGGAGCCACAUGAACCAUUUCACUCUUCUCCUUUGUCACAAUGGAGGGGCCCCCAUCAUCCCCCCCCCGCACUCACGUCUGGAUUUAACAUCCCCUCAGUUCUCUCUCUCUCUUUUUUUCUUUGUUAAAGAUUGGCCCUGUGCUAAUGUCUGUUGCCAAUCUUUUUUUUCUUUCCUUCUUCUCCCCAAAGCCCUCCAGUAAGUAGCUGUACACUCUAGAUUUAGGUCCUUCUAGUUGUGCUAUGCAGGACACCGCCUCAGCACAGUCUGAUGAGCAGUGCCAGGUCUGCGCCCAGGAUCCAAACUGGCAAAACCCUGGGCUGCCAAAGUGGAGCACGUGAACUUAACUACUCAGCCACAGGGCCACCCCCCUCUCUCUUUUUUAAGACUUUAUUUUUAGAACAAUUUUAGGUUUACGAAAAAAUUGAGAGGAAUGUAAAAAUUGAGAUUUCCCAUAUAUCCCUGCCCCCACACAUGCAUAGGACCCCAUUAUCAACAUCCCCACCAGAGGGUACAUUUGUUACAAUCGAUGACCUUACAUGGACACAUCAUGGUCACCCAAGGUCAUAGUUUACAUUAGGGUUCCUUCUUGGUGUUGUACAUUCUGUGGGUUUGGACAGAUGUAUAAUGAUGUGUAUCCAGCAUUAUAAUAUCAUAAGAGUAGUUUCACUGCCCUAAAAAUCCUCUGUCCUCCACCUGUUCAUCUCUCCCCUAUCCCCCAUGCCCUGGCAACCACUGAUUUUUUCCUGUGUUCAUAAUUUCGUCUUUUCCGAUUGGCUUCUUUCACUUACUAUAUGCAUUUAAGGUCCCUCCAUAUCUUUUCGUGUCUUGAUAGCUCCAUUCUUUAGUGCUGAAUGAUAUUCCAUUGUCUAGAUGGUAAACCACAGUUUAUUUAUCCAUUCACCAACUGAAGGACAUCUUGGUUUCUUCCAAGUUCUGGCAAUUAUCAAUAAAGCUGCUGUAAACGUCCAUGUGCAUGUUUUUGUGUGGACAUAAGUUUUCAGCUUCUGUAGGUAAAUACCAAGGAUCACAAUCGCUGGACCGUAUGGUAAGAGUGUUUAGUUCUGUAAGAAACCCCCAAACUGUCUUCCAAAGUGUCUGCACCAUUUUGCAUUCCCACCAGCCACGAGGGAGAAUUCCUGUUGCCCUGCGUCCUCAUCAGCAUUUGGUGUUGUCAGUGUUUGGGAUUUUGGCCAUUCUCACAGGCGUGUGGUGGUACCCCAGCUCUCUUACCAAUUCUCUAAGUCACCUGGUUUCCAGACCCCCCACUGUUCUGCUUGGCCUUCUUGGGAAGCUCUGUUUUCUAAAGAAACUGAGUCUCUAGGAGAUGAAUCAUUUGCUCAGAAUCAUACAGUCAACAAUAUCAGAGCUGAAAUUUGUACUCACCAUUGUUUGCAAUGAAUUGACUCAGAAUGGAGUGACCUCUUUUUAUACUGUGAAUAACGCUGUACUAUAAACACCAGGGAGCCCAGGGGCUAUGAGAAGAAUGAGACGACUUUCAAGAUUUCCACACCUUUUACAUGAAAGCCUGCCUGCCUUUCUGACCAAAAGGACUGAGCAGGUUAGAAGGAAUCGGUGUUGCUUCUGUUUCCCAGUUAAUGACAUGACAGCUUUUGGAGAACACGCCAAGCCCUCUCAGAGCUGGGAAGUCCAGGGCAGUAACGAGCGAACUGGAGCUUUACCGUCUGAUACUCACAUCGAGAUGAUCACACACAGUCCCUUUACCCUGGGCAAACGCUUCUCUAUCAGAACGUGUCCUUAGAGCACGUGAACACCACAUACAGUCCUGAGACGCAGCUUCGCGCUGUACCGCACGUCCAUCUGAGAGAUGAAGCGCGUGCAGUGGUCUGGUUUACGUUUGCUGUCAGUGGUAAGACUGAUGAAUUGCCGAGUCAGCCCUACCAAGAAUCCUGGAAAUGGCGAUCCUGACCUGACUGUGAUUUCUCCUUGUCGUCAGCGCUGGGUCACCGCAUUCUGAGGCUUCACGCAACUUAGUCAUGAUGGGAAUUACAGUUGACCGGGAUUUCCCCACCGACGUUUCCACUUGAUUGGCCCUGGAAUAUGAAGUCUAUGGAUUCUGUUUCGUUCUAGACUUAAGUAGCAGGAAACUUCUGCUUUUCUUCCCAAACACACUCCCUCAAAUUUAAGGAGGUCAGAAGUCCCAGUAGAAUCACU